rnacentral:lncRNA from 1 species
GUGCAAGUCUCUGAAGCAAGAAAAUCAUGGCACAUUCGGGAAAGAAUGAAACUUCAUGGAAAAUUUAGCGCAAGACUUGCCGACUCUCUCUAUGGCCACCUUGUCAUCAUUCUUGAUAACUUCACCAGACCUAUAUAUACCCAUCCAGUUGCUCAGCCUCUAGUCUCUUCACUUCCAAUCACUGUACAAAAAGGCAGAGUGAGGGAGAAUUCGUUCUCUCUGGCUGUCUUAGAGCUAGGAUGUCAGUCUUCUCCUACUUUUGGACACGGACUGAAACUGUAUCAUCAGUUCUCAUGGUUCUCAGGCCUUCAGACAAGACUGGAACUACACCUUCGGCUCUCCUGGGUCUUCAGCUGGCCAAGUGCAGAUCUGGGGGCUUCUCAGCCUCCAUAACUGUUUGCAGGUCCUUCUAGUUGUGGGAUGUGGGACGCCGCCUCAACGUGGCCUGACGCGCAGUGCCAUGUCCGCG